ensembl:lncRNA
CAGGAUUCUAUAUUUGUCUAUGUAUUUACCUUUACCAGAAAGCUGUAUAUUUUUAUAUUUUCAUAUGCUUUUGUUACGCUGUACAAGUCAUUAAUUUCAAGAGAGAGAGUGUGUAUGUACACAUACACAUAUAUUUCAACUGGGCAGUACUCAAGACCACUAAUCUCAGGGGGGUUUUUUUGUUCUUUCUUAUUGCUCUUAUCUUUCUUUUUUCUUUUUUUUAAUAAUUAUGACAUUUUCCUUUAAGCUUGAAUCAUUUUAAGGGGCUUUCAGUCUCUUGAUGGAUUUCUUCCAGAACUUGAGUUCACUCGCACCUAGUCUCUGAACUUGGUAGAGAUAAAUCCCAAUCUUCAUGUCUUAAAAAGACCUAAUAACUAAGGGUCUCAAAUAAGUUGUUUUCUCCUUAGCCCAUUUCUCUUCUUGAUCACACAGCCCAGCACCCCAUCCAAGAUCCAUUUAUAGCGAGUACUUGGCUGGACCAUGCCUGGCGUGGUCCUCUGUGGUGCUAUGUCCUGUUUCAGGAAGCAGAGGUCCUGGAACUCUGGAGAUUUUCUGUAAAGGAGCUUUAUGACAUCACUUCCUAGAAAGAUCCCAGGCUGGACAGUCCCUCAUCGAAUGCACCUUGUGGAACUCAAAUGGAAAACUUGACUUUCUCGAAGACUAAAGCAACUGCGUUAUGCAGAUAUUAAGAUAUGCUUGCGACAAAGCAAUAGCAACAAGCAAGUAAGCGACAAGAAAGCACAGACCAACGGAGCUGAACAGAGGACUGGAUGACAGUCCCAGGAGGCACUCAGAGGACAAGAGCAGGAAAUUUAUGGCACCAAAAUGACACUUGAAGGAUGAUCCUUCUCUUCAGCUUGCAUGGAACAGCCUGGGGCAGAGAGAUUAGAGGCAUUUGUUGCAGUUUCAUGGAGCCUAGUAAAUAAUGCUUUUCUUCCCCAUCCCAGUUCUGAAACAACUGAGAAAAAAACCUGAAAGCUUUAUUGCUGACAAAGCCACUACUGGGUAUUGUGGCCUAGAUCUGUGGACGUCCUAAAACUGCAUCCCAGAAUUAAACCGAAUGUGCCACCUUGCAGGAGGCAGCCCUGCCCCAGAGGGUCUCCAGGAUGGGGCCAGGCCCUACAACACAGACGGCUUGCAGGGGCAGAGCAGUCCUCUUUGUCCGCAGGCUGGCUCCCCAGAGAAAGAGAGAGAAAGGGCCAGACUGCAUGUGACUGGGUCCUCCUUCCAAAAGCAUUGGUCAGAUCAUGUGAGGCCUUCUCCAUUGAGGGGACGCGGGCGCCUGGCGUGUUACCCUCAUGGAGCUCCCUCAGAGGGAAGGAAAUAGCCUGUCUUCCACGUGGAAGCAAAGUCUUCCUUAGUUAUGGGAUCUUCUCAGUUGCGAGUUCUAGAAAGCUAUGGCCGGAUCUUGAGACAAAGGGAAGAGAACAGGUGACACCAGAGUUCUGAGCUCCGGGAGAAUCACGGAACCCAGUUUGUCAGCAUUCCUAUGUUUCAUCCCCACCUGCCAGUUAGCCCUCGUCCUAAUGUCUAGGAAACAGAGGAUGACAACCCUGCGUCACUCCACUCUGGGACUUCAAAUAGCCUUUUGAUUGUGGAUGGGCUGCUUUGCUUUUUCUUUCUUAAAAGUACUUACGAAAUGAAAGCGAGUCUCAGGAAAUGCAUGCCUGAUGGCCCACACUUGCUGUAGGUGGGCCCAGGACGAGAAAGGUGCUCUAAGAUGGCCAGGUGCCUUUGGAAGAAAGCUGCCUGGAAUGACGGUGACUCUGUGCCCUCUACCCGCGCAGUCUUCCAGGUCGUCUCUGUGGACCCUCAGAGGGGGGUUUUGGCAACAGCAAUGAGCAGUCAGAAUUGGCCAUUGACUGAGAUGGUGGGACAUUGCCAGUCUAGAUGCAAAACACAACUGUGCUGGCAAGGAAAUGUGCAGAAACUGGAAGCCACUCUUUCUCAUUGAGUGAGCAUGCGUGAGGAAGAAAGGGCAGAAGAGGGGCUGUGCAGACAGCUUGGGAUGGCGCCAGGGCAUCAGCACGGAGAGGGCCUGCUGGGAAGGACAAGCUGUGGCCAAUCACUCAGGGUGUAGUGUCCACCACAAACGAGGGGACCCCUUCCUCAAACAUCCCUUAAGUCUAAGACAUUGAGUUACCAACUGUGACAAUUCCCAAAAUGGAAAGCAUGACCAGAAGGACUGACUUCAUGUAUGCACAGAAUGGAAAGAUGGUGUGGCAAGGCCUGGGGCCAGCCUGUGUGUUUUCCACCACAUCCAGACACGUGGAGAGCAGCCCCUGCCAGCAAGGUCAUGCCGGCUGUGACAGCACUUGAGAACUGAGUGGGGUGUCACAUGGCACCAGGUUGAUCCCAUGUGUACGACGCAUAAUCAAGCACCUCUAAAUAAACACAGCACCUGGCAGUGGAUGUACACACCCAGCCUGCAGACGUGUUUUGUCUGGUUUGCAGGGUGUUUUGAAAAUUUUUGUAACUCAUUGCUAGCGUUUAAGAAGUGGGAGAUUUCACAGUAAAAUCUGGAUUUCAAGCUUUUCUUGAAAGUUAGAUGUGUGGCAGGACAGGGCCCACAUUCCAGCAUGGCAACAGCCAGUGGCAGAAGCUGAGAGGCAGCCAGACUGUCCUGCCUCUUCACUGACCACUGUCCUUCAGUCUGGCUGCUUCCCUCCUAGGACAAAACUGCCGGCUGCCGCUAGCUCUGUGUCUGCCAGCGCGGGCUGCAGGCAUGUGCCGACAGUCAUGGUUAAUGGCGGAGUCGGGACCAGCUCCAGAUCUUACAGUGGUCUUUGGACUCCACCACCCAGCCAUCCAUGCAUUCCCGAUCAAAUUGUUGGGGGUCACUUGAGGACCCAGUCUAAAGAGGUGGCUUGGCAUUGCAGAUUGGCGAAGUGACAAUGCCGAUUUCACGGAAAUUCAUGGGAAAUCUUGUAAACCCCCAACAGCCAAAGGCCAAGUUUUAUGAAGUGUAAACUUUAGGGGUUUCAUCUGUCUUGCUCCCCAAUACAGCUCAUUGCUUGACAAGGAGUUGGAGGACAAUAAAUAUUUGUUGAGUGAAGUAUGUGGUCCAUGUUUCAGCCUAAAGCAUUGCUCAAGAUGUUAUAAAGCUGAGUACAUUCUGGAGUGAGUCCUUCUGCUACUUGGUAAGAUCCAGCCGGGUCAGCCAACAUUCAUCACCUGCCACAGAAAUUUGUCUGCCCGAUUCGCAAACGGCUUUUUAAAAAAAAUUGUUAGGCGCCGGUUCUCCAGUUUACAUGUCAGAUCUUUAGGAUCCAGACAUCUAAAGCUCAGUGAAAUAUCGUAGUCACAACAGAGAGCACACAGGGCUCUGUGUUCUAUUCGGUCCCAUAAAUAUUUACUGAACUCCCAUUAUGUGCAAGGCUGUGUCCUAGGAACUCGAGACACCGAGAAGCAGACGCUAGCCUCACCUUCAAGGAGCUCACAGUUUUUGAGUCAACGGCAAUCCAAACGGAUGCUAAAACCCUUGUGUCACGCUGGGCAUUUCCGGCGCACGAACUGCUUGCUUUAUUGUUAGCUUUUGACCAUUCAAAAAGAAAAAGAUGAAAGAAAAAGAAAUUUAUGAUGAUUUUUAAAUGUUUACUGUUUAUGUUCUGCAACCAAACACCUAAUGAAUAAAUCUAAUUUACUUGGGAGACAGGUUGUUUCACAUAAAUGGAUCUUUUUUCAUAUAAAACAUUAAACCACACAGUGG